AACGGCGAGUGAAGCGGCAAGAGCUCAAAUUUGAAAUCUGGCCUCCUCCCGGGGGUCCGAGUUGUAAUUUGCAGAGGAUGCUUCGGGUGCGGCCCCCGUCUAAGUUCCUUGGAACAGGACGUCAGAGAGGGUGAGAAUCCCGUCUUGGGCGGGCGGCCCGCGCCCGUGUGAAGCUCCUUCGACGAGUCGAGUUGUUUGGGAAUGCAGCUCUAAGCGGGUGGUAAAUUUCAUCUAAAGCUAAAUACUGGCCGGAGACCGAUAGCGCACAAGUAGAGUGAUCGAAAGGUUAAAAGCACCUUGAAAAGGGAGUUAAACAGCACGUGAAAUUGUUGAAAGGGAAGCGCUUGCGGCCAGACUCGGGGGCGGGGUUCAGCGGGCGCUCGUCGCCCGUGCACUCCCCGCGCCCCGGGCCAGCAUCAGUUUCGACGGCCGGUCAAAGGCCCCCGGAAUGUGUCGUCUCUAGGGACGUCUUAUAGCCGGGGGUGCAAUGCGGCCCGUCGGGACUGAGGAACGCGCUCCGGCUCGGAUGCUGGCGUAAUGGCCGUAAGCGGCCCGUCUUGAAACACGGACCAAGGAGUCUAACAUCCACGCGAGUGUUCGGGUGUCAAACCCGUGCGCGCAGUGAAAGCGAACGGAGGUGGGAGCCUUUUGGGCGCACCAUCGACCGAUCCUGAAGUCUUCGGAUGGAUUUGAGUAGGAGCGUGGCCGUUGGGACCCGAAAGAUGGUGAACUAUGCCUGAAUUGGGUGAAGCCWKWGGAAMYUCUGGUGGAGGCUCGCAGCGGUUCUGACGUGCAAAUCGAUCGUCAAAUUU
rnacentral:rRNA from 1 species